AGUUCGAGCUUCCCGGCUGCUGUGUUUACCUAAGCAAGCCCGGGCAAGGGCGGGCGCCCCUCCCCCAGCCUCGCUGCCGCCCUGCAGUUUGAUCUCAGACUGCUGUGCUAGCAAUCAGCGAGACUCCGUGGGCGUAGGACCCUCCGAGCCAGGUGCCGGAUAUAAUCUCGUGGUGCCCCGUUUUUUAAGCCCGUCGGAGAAGCGCCGUAUUCGGGUGGGAGUGACCCGAUUUUCCAGGUGCCUGUCCGUCACCCCUUUCUUUGACUCAGAAAGGGAACUCCCUGACCCCUUGCGCUUCCCAAGUGAGGCAAUGCCUCGCCCUGCUUCGGCUCGCGCAUGGUGCACGCACCCACUGACCUGCACCCACCGUCUGGCACUCCCUAGUGAGAUGAACCCGGUACCUCAGAUGGAAAUGCAGAAAUCACCCGUCUUCUGCGUCGCUCACGCUGGGAGCUGUAGACCGGAGCUGUUCCUAUUCGGCCAUCUUCCAUAAAGAAGAAAACCAGGUAUGUGGGGAAAUUGAGACUUGAACUCAGGUCUGGCGGACUGCAAAGCUGACACCUGUCUGCUACAAGCAGUUUCCCCUUCGCAUCUCAGGUCAGGAAACUUAGAGAUUAUCCAGGCCAACCAUCCUUCAGAGCAAUCAGUGAAAAUUCCAGCUGGCGUCUCCAGUGAUGGGCAGCUUACUGUCUCCCACGGCAGCACAGAACACAUUUGGACACCUGAGACCAUUAGAAAGAUGGCUGUUCACUAUCACUGAGGAGGGGCAACAUCACUUCCCAUGAAAAUGCUGCUGCUAAGAUCCUCCUCAACACCCUUGUCAAAAGGGGCACACCUGGGCACCUGAAGAAACCUUAACAACUCAAUGAUGUCACAAUUGUCAUUCAUAUACCAAGCAGGAUGUUCUAUUCUGUGAAUGUACCUGUGUUUUAAAGAAUAAGAACACUAGCGAUAUAAAUGCUUAAAUGAAAAGUACAUGGGGGAGGAUUGGUGGCCCAGAGCCACAAGAUCCAAUAGUCCUACUAAUAGCUAAAGGGAGGCUGGUAAUGUGCAAAUCAGUCUCCAUUUCAGGGCCUCAACAUGACGAAGUCAUCACAUUCACAAACUAGACUCUGGGCCUUUUCAAAGAUCUAGAGCCAAAGCCCCUGCUCUACUUGUUAACGAAGUCAGGCAUCCUGCAGUGACUAUGUGAGCCUUGUUUUGGAGGACAGUGCAAAGUGGAAAGUGGGUGAUACAAUUUAGAUCUGUGUCCCCACCCAAAUCUCAUGUCCAAUUGUAAUUCCCAGUGUUGGAGGUGGGGCCUAGCGGAAGGUGAUUGGAUUAUGAGGGUGGGUUUCUCAUAAAUGGCUUAGCACCAUCCUCUUGGUGCUGUUCUCAUAAUACUGAGUGAGUUCUCACGAGAUCUGGUUGUUUAGAAAUGUGUGACACCUCCCCACACCCCGCUCCUGCUUCCACAAUGUGUCAUGCCUUCUCCCAUUUUACCUUCUGCCAUGACUGUAAGUUUCCUGAGGCCUCCGCAGAAGCUGAGCAAAUGCCAGCAUCAUGCUUCCUAUAUAGCCUGCAGAACCAUGAUCCAAUUAAACUUCUCUUCUUUAUCAAUUACCCAGUCUCAGGUAUUUAUUUACAGCAAUGCAAGAAUGAACUAGUAUAGUGGGAGUCCAAGAGGAUGUUGGAAAUGCUGGAGAAACGAACUUCUAAGGGACAGCAAGGGGACAGCUGUUGGGACCUCACACCAGGGCUCAAGGAUACUCAAUUCAGAUGUGGUCCGGAGGACCGCAGAAUCUUCAGCUGCAAGCCUGUCUAGGAGGAGACUUCCCACCCCACUCUGUGCAGACACUUGGAUUGUGGAUAUUUUCCACAUUUUUUUAACUGCUUUUUUGGGAAACUAUUUUCCUUCAGCCUUGGACCAAGGACAAAAGCGUCAUUACUUGCAGUUGGUGGAGCUAUCUGAGGCCUAUAACCUACCCAUCCCCUCAUCCCAGAUUUAUGACUUCCUGAAGGCAGAAGGAAGAUGGGUACAAGAGUGGCACAGCAGGACAAUCUCUCCUCAGCCUGAGUGGCACAGGACAGCUGCUUUGUGUGGGCCAGGACAAAAGAGAAAGCAACCAAAGGGAGUACAAGAAUGUAGCUGAAUUCAACUGGACCAGCUCACCAUUGUCUUCCUGCCCUGGCUUUUCUCUGCCUGCUGCCUCAUUCCCUUCUGCUGACUGACCAUCUCCUUGGGAAGUUACCUGGUGGCCAAGGACUGCAGAGCCUCACGGCUUUUGGCUUCCAGUGCCAGAGAGAGGCUGAAUCCCUUUUCUCAAUUCCAGCUUGGACAAAUUUUGAGAAAUAAUUAAUAUGCCUAACUUGGUCAGAUGGCCAUCCCUAUGGUCAUGGUCAGGGCAUUCUCUGAAAGCACAGACCAUGAAGCACAGACAGGGUCACCUGGAACCCACCUCUGCUGGUCCCAGAAGAGAAAGAAUGGUUACGAGCCAAGCAGCACUCCAGUGCAAUCUACUGUGGUAAGGCAUUAAUCUCUGUGAAGACUGCCCUUGUAUCUCUGGAACACUCCCAGGAAGUGGCUCCAGGGUGCCCCCAAAAUGCCAUUGACUAUUUCAUUGAUUAAAACUAUUAUUUGUCCUC